GCUGGGUGUGGUGGCUCACGCCUGUAAUCCCAGAACUUUGGGAGGCCGAGGCAGGUGGAUCACCUGAGGUCAGGAGUUCGAGAGCAGCCUGGCCAACAUGGUGAAACCUGUCUCUA
rnacentral:SRP_RNA from 1 species